rnacentral:sRNA from 1 species
CGAGAUACACAGUCGAUUGACCAUUAGGUGGUUCCUUAUCAGUGUGUACAGCUAUGUAUCUUCGUGUGUCGAUUAAAACUCUAAAAACAAAGAAAUGAGAAAAAGAAGCAGCGCAGGUCCACUUUUUUUUUUUUUUUUAUUCUUAACACCCAAUUUCAAGCCAGAAAACACUGUGCACUCAUUUAUCCCCACGGCUCAAGAUAUGCAUUGCAAAACCAGGGAGAUGUGGCUUGAAAUGAUUUGCAAACACUGCCUCUCGCCUGCACUCUUGGCCUUGUUUGAUCUAGAAGAUUAAAUUAUUGUCCUGUGAAAUUAGAAAUAUUGUAAUGUUGAAUUUAACCAACAUUCCAGUUCCAGCCAUUCAGAAUACAGCUAGGGAGGGAUGACGUGGUUUAAAGUUUUCUGUUAAGAUUAUUUUGCACAUAGAAGGAAGUUAGUGCCCUCUGAUACCAAAGAGCAAGCACCCGGUGCACAGUGCCUGAUUGGCGCUGGCGGCAAGCGAGGGUGCAGCACUUAAAGGCAGCGGCGCACCUGGGUUCUAUUUAAGGCUAAGCAGGAUUACUCACAGAGACCCAGCGUUCUGAAUCUAAGUGCCACCAAGUUGUUUCAGAGGGAGAGCUAAAUUUGGAGGGCAGGAUUAAAGCUCAGCGAGAGGGUGAUUUAGAAAACCUGCCUGCAUCUACAGUGAGUCACCCAGGAGGACUGGAGUACGUCUAGAUGUUGGCUUGCUGGUCACUGGAAUCUCGUUAGGUUGAACUCACUGGUGACAUUACCUUCUGUGUCACUCUUCUCAUAAAUGUCAUUCUCUAGAAAAUUUCCCCCGUUGAUGCCUUGCCUUUUCUAAGCAAUGCACUUUAGUUAUUCUAAUGUUAAAUUCGAGAGCAACUGACAGCCAAAAGACCGUUGCUAGGGAAUGUCUAAUCUAUUCCAAUUACCUUGCAGACAUGAAGCGGAAUUAUGAAGUGCAAAGUAUUCAGGGGCCUUUAUAAGAGUUACACAUAUGGGACUGCUAUUUCUCGGGACAAAAACACAAGUUAUCCAAGAGAUUGCAUUUGUCAAAAAAUGAAAGCCAAGAUUAUUCUGGCGAGAGCAGCCACAGCUCAGGGAAACUCCAGAGCCCGGGAACAACAGUGUAUUCUCAGAAGGUUAUGAUAUCUGUUAAACGCAUUUAGAUUUUGUUUUGUUUUGUGAUAGGGUCUCAUUUAGCUCAGGCUAUCCUCAAACUUGCUAUGUGGCCAAGGCUGGACCGGAAUCUCUAUUCCACUUACCUCUACCUUCUGAGUGCUGGGAUUAUAGGCUCAAGCUGCCAUGCCCUGCACAGUUAAAUUUUAUGGACAGUUAAAAGGCCUGCACAUAAUGCUAAGCAGUACGCAUGUUGUUGAAGAAUCGUUUUUUAGCUCAGAAGGUCGUUUAAUUAAAAAUUCAGUAAAAAUGUAGCAGAGAAUAUACUCUUGUACAGGAAUAUGGAAAACAGACCUAUUGUAAUUCCUGUGCCAGCAUUGAUGAUAAAAGCCCCAGGAGAGUAGACACCUUGCUCCUCUCAUCCGUUGCUAAUUGCUCUGGUGAUCUGACCAGCACACAGGAAGCGAUAGGCGCUACGAACACGCUGGACUGAAUGGCUUUUCUCACGUAUCAGGAGUCAGCAAACCCAAAGACAGCCGGAACUGAUGGUAGACAGAAGGAUCGUGUGUCCGUCCGUCUUCGGUGUGGCUCGUUUAGAGCAGGGCUGUUCAUGUCUAGAGCCCCGGGUGAAGAAUUUCCCUGUUUAAGAAGAUCUGUGCCUUCGCUGAAUACAAUGUGCGUGGUUUGAUCCCCACUACAGCAUACACCUGAGGACCUAGCUCCCCCAAGAAGGGCCUAUCCUUGGAGGUACGUUUCUGCUUUACAAUCAGGUGACAUCUUGACUACUUGUUGUUCCUGACGAGCAGAAGUCGGUGUGAACCUGCCAAGAAGUGGUGGUUGGGCUAGAGAGUGGCUCUGUACAUGGCUUGCCACACAAGCAUGAAGAACUGAGGUCACAUCUCCAGAACCUAUGUAACGCCAGGUGAGAUACAUGUACCUGUAAUGCGGGGCUUUCCAGUGAGUCGGGAGGUGGAACCGAGGGAAGCCUCAGAACUCACAAGCUAGCCUGGAACUCACAGCAGCAAACAGGAGACCCUGCUGCCUCUAAUAAGGCAGAUGCUGAGGACAACUCCCAAGGUUUCCUUCUGGCCGCCACAUAGCCACCAUAGCAUGUAAAUAACUGCAUCCACACACACAAAUGCACACACACACACACACACACACACGGUCAUUAGAAAGAAGAAUUUUUUUUUAACUUAGAGCCAGUGAUGAAAACUAGUUUAGACUGACCCUUGAUUGCUUCCACAACCCUGAAGCUACAGUCAGAACAUUUGAUAGAUAAUGUUGUAGAGAUCAUGUAAUUUCUCCAUUAGAA